CGUGUCGUGAGAUUGUUGGUUAAGUCCCGCAACGAGCGCAACCCUGCCCUUAGUUACCAUCAUUAAGUUGGGUACUCUAGGGGACUGCCGGUGACAAGCCGGAGGAAGGUGGGGAUGACGUCAAGUCAUCAUCCGGUUACGGGCUGGGCUACACACGUGCUACAAUGGCGGUGACAGUGGGCAGCGAUGGGGCGACCCUGAGCUAAUCUCCAAAAACCGUCUCAGUUCGGAUUGUUCUCUGCAACUCGAGAGCAUGAAGUCGGAAUCGCUAGUAAUCGCGUAUCAGCAUGACGCGGUGAAUACGUUCCCGGGCC
rnacentral:rRNA from 1 species